UCCCAGCUCACAGCUAAUCCGAGGUGCAGACACACCAUUAAACAUACUGAAAUUUUUGCAGUGUGCAGGACAAAUGUCACUGGCUAAAGUCUAAAACUCUGCAAAUCCUUUCAUUCAUUUAUUUCAAGUGUUUGCAGAGUUAGUUCAAUGUCAGUUCCAUCUGACAGGCUUACAGUGGGGGCAAAUCCCAGAGCUUGCGUUCUAAGAGGUGAAUUAGACAAUGAAGACCAAUAUAGUUCAGUGGUAACACACAGGACGGGGGAAUAAAAUAGGGACAAGGGAAAGAGGGGUGCGCAGAUUCUUUUAAGUUGGAGAAGGCAUGUUAAAGAAGACUGUCUUGGGUGAGGGCCUGCCCAGCAGGCAAGAAGAGGGUCCUGGGGAAGGGUAAAAAGAGGGUGAAGGACAGGACAGAGGGUGGAGAGGUGGUGAAGCAGCCCCCCACCCCUGCCUGAGUGAAAUGGGGAGACCCAGGAGGACAGCCAGGGUCUGGCAAAGACCCCUGAAAGGACUACUCAGGUUGCUACACUGAAAACAGAUGCUGGCUCGUGAGGGUGAGUAGCAAGUCCAGUGAGAGCCCGUGGUGACAAGGCAAACAGGAGAUGACGGGGCUUGGGCCAGGGCAGGAGCCACCAAGGCAGGGAUAGGUACCUGCUUCUGCAUGCCUUUUAAAGGAAGAAUCAAUGGGAUCAGCUAACAGAUUCAAAGGUUGGAAAAAAGGGUAACUGGAGUUUUUGCCUGGGCACCUGAAAGAUGGAGCUGCCGUUUGUUGAGGCAGAGAGACCACAGAGGAGACAUGGGAGGGAAAUUUUUACACAAGAGAAAUACUCAACUGUCAAGAACAAUUCUAUGUUUUCUACAAAGACAGUAACCAAAAAGUUCUGCCUCCAUAAUCUAGAAUUCAGAAAUCAAAUUCAUAACCUCUCUUGCAGCCUAGAUAUGCUAAGGUGACGUAAAUUUGAUUAGCUAGACAAAGCAUAGCAGAUUUUGAUUCGGAAGAAAGCACGUCACAUGUUGCUUAUUUCUGAAUUCUGGUGGCUUUUAGCAGCAGUGUAGAUUUCCGAGUCAAGCUGGCAUCCUCCCAGAGCCCCCACUACAUUCUCUGUUUCAUACUGUAUUGCGGCAGGAAAGCAUCCUGUAACUCUUGGACUUACUCUAAGUGUGCUGUGACGCAUAUGAUGUCACAAAGGCUAAGACCAAUAACAUCUACAGGUCACCAGUCUCCCUCAGUUUACUACUGAAGCUAGUGAGGAAGAAGAAUGGGGAGAAAUCAGCAAGACCCCCAUGAAGAAAGAAGCACCAGCUGGCAGUCCACUGAUUUCCUCACCAUCAAAAUCUGGACAGCUCUUGGAGAAUAAGAAUCCUGCAGUCUCCAUGACCACUGGCAAAUGGCACAGGAUGCGCAGGCAGGAAGAGGAAGGCUCAUUUCUUCAUGAAGCCCAGGACACUGAGGAGAACCUCCAAAGACUUAAACAUCAAAGACAGAUGGCAAGUGUCUAUUAGGUACAUGAAAACGGUACUGGAACUUUCAAGGAAAAGGGCUAAUUAUUUAAAAAUCAGUGUUUAAUUCAAAAUGUGAGCUCCAUUCUGGGUAUCCUGAAGAUGGUACACAGCAUUCAGCCCCACAAACAAUGCUACACUAAAUGCUUCAAAUAUGUUUAAAUCCAACCACAAUAUAAAAGGCACCAUACUAUCAGACUUCAACAACAAGGUAAGAGCAGUGAAAAACGCCAACCCCAAACUCAAGACCUCAAGGAAGAGCUCAGACUGCACCACUGAAACCAGGAAUGGAAUGCCAGCCAGGAAUCAAACUAUGACCCCUGAGCCAAAGAAAACUUACCACUCAGCUGAUCCACUAUUUGCUGAAAUACUAGGAUAAUCGUCAUCAAUCUGCCCCUUCGAAUAAAUCUAAAAGUUGUUUGGUUAUUAAAAUAUAAAAGUCAGAAUUGUUAAAUGAAACCAAGAAGCUAAGACAAAUGAGAUUGCUCUAUGUAUCUGUGUAGGUCCUCUUUGUUUGGAAAUAAUAAAAAGAAAUUUCCUAAUAA